CGCCGUCGACCCCACGCCACGCAGAGGUGAAGAUACGCAGGACGUCCUCUAAAGCAACUUCCGUGGGUGCCAGGUUGUGGGCUGGGGGCGGUGCUGACCUUGAGAGAGCGGAGGAGGCGCAGGCGCAGCACAGUUUAAACUUGAUUUUGUGAGGGGACGAACAGCGUGACAAUUAAAAGAAGAUCUGGGAAUCAAAAGCUUCCUGAGGCCUUCACCAGAAGCAGAUGCUGGUGCCGUGCUUCUACAGCCUGCAGAACUGAAGGACUUUACAGCUUCUCUUUCGCAUAUCCAAAUUGCCAGCAUCACCGCUCUUGCACUCCAAGCCAUUAUUAAGUAAAGUAAAGAACACAAACACUGUGAUACUGCUACACUUGAUCUGAUAACCAAGAAGUCUACUAAGUGACUAACAGCAGAGCAACUGGGAACCUAAUUCUGACCAAAAAGGAGGAAUUGUUUGGCUAAUUGGAAGUGACAGAAACCUUGGGAGAAAGCAACCGCAUACCAAGGAUAAUUAUAAGAAGAAGAGAAGACAUGGAGAAGAGGAGGGAGUAGUUGUGACCGUGGAGGCAGAGAAUGGAGUAAUGUGAUCAUAAAUCAAGGAAUGCUGACAGCCACUAAAGCUGGAGAAGGCCAAGGACAGAUAUUCAAUCCUCCCGUAGAAGUACAGCCCUGCUAAUGCAUUGAUUUUGGACUUCUGGCCUCAGAACUAUUUAUAUAUCAGCUUUUUAUCAGUUGAAAUAAACCACCCUGGGCCGGGUGCAGUGGCUCACACCUGUAAUCCCAGCACUUUGGGAGGCCGAGGUCUGGAAAGCAUGGAAAUUUGUAUCUUCAUUCACUUUUGUUUUCAUGGACUCUUUUCAUGUUUGAACUUUUCAUGAUCCAAUGUGAUAAUUUAUGUGAAAUCUUUCUGCAAACUAUACAGUAUGAUAAAAAUAUAAGGUAGUUUCACUGGAAACAACAGAAGACUAGAAGCUGAUGUGACGUGGCAAUAUCAACCAGGAGUGGGUGGACAUUUGGCAUCCAGGAUGUGGUUCCAAGCUUGAGCCAUGGGAUGGUUUUUAUCUAUCUUCAUCAGAAGGGAGUAUGCUAAAGAACACAUAUGAGAUUACUGUGUGUCUGACACACAGUAGGCCCUUAAUAUUAGUUUGCUGAAUGCACAAAGGGAGGGAACUUCACCAAACUGAAGAUCAUUUCUCAGGAGUAACUUUAAUAACAAGCUGAGGCACAAAAUCCCACUAAAGUUUACCAGCUACCUAUUUAGAAUGGCUGAAUUUUAACAGAUGUUGACUGACUCUCUUAGGAAC
rnacentral:lncRNA from 1 species